rnacentral:rRNA from 1 species
CCUACGGGAGGCAGCAGUGGGGAAUAUUGGACAAUGGGCGAAAGCCUGAUCCAGCAAUGCCGCGUGAGUGAUGAAGGCCUUAGGGUUGUAAAGCUCUUUUACCAGGGAUGAUAAUGACAGUACCUGGAGAAUAAGCUCCGGCUAACUCCGUGCCAGCAGCCGCGGUAAUACGGAGGGAGCUAGCGUUGUUCGGAAUUACUGGGCGUAAAGCGUACGUAGGCGGCGAUUCAAGUCAGAGGUGAAAGCCUGGAGCUCAACUCCAGAACUGCCUUUGAAACUAGAUUGCUAGAAUCGUGGAGAGGUGAGUGGAAUUCCGAGUGUAGAGGUGAAAUUCGUAGAUAUUCGGAAGAACACCAGUGGCGAAGGCGGCUCACUGGACACGUAUUGACGCUGAGGUACGAAAGCGUGGGGAGCAAACAGGAUUAGAUACCCUGGUAGUCCACGCCGUAAACGAUGAUAACUAGCUGCCAGGGUUCUUAGAACUUUGGUGGCGCAGCUAACGCAUUAAGUUAUCCGCCUGGGGGAGGUACGGUCGCAGAUAAACUACAAANAGAAGUAGACGCGNGAGACGUGCCGAGACGACGACGAGGGAGAGG